GUGCCAGCAGCCUCGGUAAUUCCAGCUCCAAUAGCGUAUAUUAAAGGUGUUUUUGAUAAAAAGCUCGUAGUUUAACCUUGGGCCUGGCUGGCCGGUCCGCCUCACCGCGUGUACUGGUCCGGCCGCGCCUUUCCUUCUGGGGAACCUCAUGCCCUUCACUGGGCGUGUUGGGGAACCAGGACUUUUACUUUGAAAAAAUUAGAGUGUUCAAAGCAGGCCUUUGCUCGAAUACAUUAGCCUGGGAUAAAAGAAUAGGACGUGUGGAUCUAUUUUGUUGGUUUCUAGGACCUCCGGAAUGAUUAAUAGGGAUAGGCGGGGGCCUUAUCAUUCAAAUCGUCAGAAGCUAGAUUUUUCGACUGAUUGUAGAUUAACUACUGGCUAAUGUCUUGCCAUCAUAUUCGAUUAUCAAGGGAACUAAAU
rnacentral:rRNA from 1 species